UACGGAGGGGACUAGCGUUGUUCGGAAUUACUGGGCGUAAAGCGCACGUAGGCGGAUUUGUAAGUCAGGGGUGAAAUCCCGGGGCUCAACCUCGGAACUGCCUUUGAUACUGCAAAUCUCGAGUCCGGAAGAGGUGAGUGGAAUUCCUAGUGUAGAGGUGAAAUUCGUAGAUAUCUGGAGGAACACCGGUGGCGAAGGCGGCAUCCUGGACCGACACUGACGCUGAGGAGCGAAAGCCAGGGGAGCAAACGGG
rnacentral:rRNA from 1 species